CUGUUCCAGAACUGCAGCUUCAGAGGCUCUUUUAACAACAUAAGCAAAACUGGGAGCCAACCUCAUUUUUUCCCCCUGGCUGUAAUGAACACACAGCUUAGCUACAGCAGUCUCCCACCCCCAGUAAAAUGAACUGGAAUUACAAAGCUUAUGAAGAAAACAAGUGUCAUUUUUUUCCCUCUAUCUUUUUCCUUUCUUUUUAAUUGUUUUUUUUUUUUCUUUCUUUCCUAUUACUUUCUCUUUUUUUGGAUCGAAAGUAAGACCAAAUAAUGUCAAAAGGGAAAGGAGAGGGGUUCUGAGAUCAGUCUCAAAUCUCAGAAGAAGACUGCGGGAAAUGGUGCCAAAUUGAAGUGUUUAUCCAUGGAAACUUGUCCCCUCAAGCUACUGAUGACACAUUCACUUUGCACCUUCACAGAGAGAGAAAGGGGAGAUCUGCCUUUUGAAGCAGAAAAAGCAACUGCUGCAAACCUGCAGUGUGUUUAAUGGAAGAGGACGUCUGGUUUCCAUGUAACGCUAAUAAAGUAUUCAGUACACUGGCAGGUGGAGCCUGGAAUGGAUGUGGGUGGUGAGGGUUGUGGGAAGCAGAGAGGAGACAGAGGGGUGUUAGAGGAUGGCCAGCUUGUGAUAGCAGGGAAAUCAAAGCCUUGUAAAGAGGAAAAUAUUUUAAAUGUUAUUUCAGUGUUUCAUCAAAAAAGAUUUUGCAAAGCUAUUUGUGACUGACUCUUUGGAGAUCUUGGUAUAAGGUUAUACUUAUACAUGUUUAAAGCAAUUCCAAGAUUUAUCCAUUUAGAAGAAAAACUGUAAAACUUAAAAAAAAAAUGAAAAAGAAAAAAUGUAUUUUCUCCUUGUCUUCAUAAAAGAAGGCAGAAGAAAAAAAAAACAAAAAACAGAGCAAGCAAAUAACCUUUUUUUUUUUUUUUUCCUCCCUGAAAAUAACCCUAGAAACACCCAGCACAGCAUAAAAAAUCAUCAAAUGCUUUUGAACUAAAAGCCAUUCUUUUCUUGGGAAAACAUGUAUAGACAAAAAUACCCAAGCUGCCAAACUGAUAAAUACAAUUGACCUGCUGUGAUGUUAACUUAGAGCUCAUCGAUUUCAUUUCUGAUGUGCCACAGGAACAUUCAUUUGCACUGAGUGCUAGCUAAGACCUUUUCAUUAGUGCUGCAGCAGCUGGAUUGUAGAUUUGGUCAAUGCGGAUGGGUAUGGAAUGACUUGGGCUCUUCUACCCCAGCUUUUGUCUGGCCAGAUGUGAGCUUAUGACAAUAGGCUGUUCCUGUGAAAGGCCAGGCAUGGUAGCCCAGGUGCAGUGCUGGAGUAGAGCUGGGGUCAAGCUUUGUGUUAUGAUUGGAUACUGAAAAAAAAGAAAUAGGUAAUUUGAGUUAAACCUGGUUAUUUACUCAAAACAAGUUCUCAUAAAGCCAUUUUCGAGAUUGUAUCAGAGCAUCUUCCAGUAAUGAAUUAUUCAGUUUAAUCAAUUUUUCACUCUCUCCUGCAUGAUUAGGAAACUGGGAUCUGGGACACAAAAUUGAGAGUGAUCCAUGGAGCAUCUCUAACUUUGAUAAGACCAGCCCUACUGGGAAUUUUCUUCAUUUAAAAACUGGGAGAUAAAGGGAUUGAGGCCGAUGCUGCUGUAGCUGAAAAGGGCGUCUCAUUCCAUACAGUUCAUAGAGACGCUGAGUCCAUUCCAUCCAUUCCAUAUGUCCUACAUCUCUGUGCUGGCAGUGAGAUAGUGAGGUCUGGGAAUGGGGAAUACUGGGAAUACUACUCUUCUCUUCUCUUCUCUUCUCUUCUCUUCUCUUCUCUUCUCUUCUCUUCUCUUCUCUUCUCUUCUCUUCUCUUCUCUUCUCUUCUCUUCUCUUCUCUUCUCUUCUCUUCUCUCUUCUUUUACUUUAUUUUCUUUCUCCUCCCCAGAUAAAAUUGUCUACCUGCAAAAUGAAUCAUCUGAAUUUAGGUUUUCCUUUAAAGUUUUAUGGGCUGCAUAUUUGCUCCCCAUCCUUUCUUUAAUUUUGCUAGUGAGGAGCCUGUCUGUACCAUGCAACUCACAACUGCCUGGGAGACCUGUGACAAGUAAAUUUCAGUCUCUCAGUAGAGCUGGUAUUCUUAGAGCUGCAGGAGCAGUCAUCAUGAAGGGGAAAGCUGUGAACGCCAAUAAAUUAUUGAAGAAAGCAGGAGAAAUAUUUCCUUCUGUUGACACAUUGGCAUUCACCUUUGGGAAUGUAAUCAUGGGAAAGGUAGGCAAUCUUUUGUCAUAGAGAUCUUUUGCUCGGAGAAUUCAGUCUUUUUAAAACCUUAGGAGGGAGCCUGCAAGCCCUCAACAUGGAAGGGGUAUUCAAGUUAUAGGAUGUCUUCAGGCAGACAAGUUUCUCAGAAAUGACAGUGAAACUGAAUUAAGUCUGCAACACAUUAAAAUUACUUGGUGAUAAAAAGGGAGGUUAGUGAGGUAGAGAGUAAACCCCUCCAGCUCCCUGACACCCCGGGACAGUUUCCAAUCAGGAGGGGGAUUGUUUUCUACGAACAAAACAAGACAGCAUUAGUACAAGACAGAGCAUAAACAUGGCAAAAUUUAGAGUUCAGAGAAGAACAGAAGAUGGAAGCCAACCUCUUGGUGUAAGGCAGAGGAAACAGCAAGGACAUGCCUACAAGAUCAACAUUUCCUUUUGGGUUGUGACAUGGGGGAAGGACUGGGGCAGUUCUUGAGAGCUGGGGUGGUGCAGGAGUGGUUUCUUCUAGCCUGAAAAUCUGAUUCUACCUCUUUCUUCCAUCACUGAAACAAAGGAACCUACCCAGGCCUGUGAACAUAGAUUUGUCUGUCUGAAUUUCAAAUUUUGCUUGGAAAGCCAUCAAAUUAGCACUGAUGUUUUAUUCCAACAUCAGAAACGGCAGGGAAAAAUACCCAGGAGCUCGUUGGAUUUAAAUCCACAGAAUCAUCUCCAGUUUUGUUUAGACGAGAUGAGUGAAUAACCCCCCUUCUCAGCAUCAUAUUUGGCUCAAAUCACCAAUUUACUGGUUUACAAAAAUCUAAAACUGCCCCUCCGGCAAAUUAAGGGAUUACGUCAAUCACUCAAGUCCAUUCUACCUGACAACAGCACGCAGCAACAGGGCAAAAGGUUUGAUGCUCUGCUGGAAUGUGAUAAGGAGAAAAUGCCAAAUGACACAUAGGCAAAGUUAUUACCAGCGAGAUGAAGACAAACUGGAGGGAGUUCAGAGAAGUGCAACAAAAAUGAUUAGAGAGCUGGAGGGGUUGAUUUAGAAGGAAAGUUUACAAGAACAACUGGCAAUAUGCACAGCAGGGCUGAGCAACAUCUGAGGGGGGAGAGAGAGCCAGUUGCAAACAUCUGAACAGUGCAAACACCCAGGGAGGAACACAAUUACCCAAGGGGGAAAUAACUAAGAUAAUAGGUUGAAAUUAGGAGAAAGAGAUAAACAUCAAAAUAACUUCUCAGUGAAAAGACUGUGGAAUAACCUACUAUGGGAAGACAUGGAAGUCCAAGCCAAGCAGGCUAUAAAUUCCUUCCCACAGCCCCUGCAGAUACAAAAGUCAGCUACAGAUAACUUUGAAAACAAUUUCUAAGCAACAAAUGUCAGAACUUCUGCAAGAAACCAGGUGUGAGAAGGUGUUUAGAACUGAUGAUUUCCAGAUAACUCUACUAGUUUUCUUGCUGUUCAAAUGCACAAUGGGGAGGAGUUUGAAAAGGCUCUUGCUUUCUGUUUCCUGGGUGAAAUGACUGCACUGGAAACCUCCAAAAGUGCAGUUGUGGCAAUCAAGACAUUGCCCACUCAUCGACAAAUAGUUUUCCAGUUGAGAUAGUUGGUUUAAAUCUCCCUCAGGUUUGGAGUGACUGGAAAUCAACACCAGAUAAUGGCUGUUUGGUAGUAGAUGUGACAUGAGUUAAUGCACUCACUUGAAUUUCUAGUGGAUAUUGGACAUGUGCUCACAUUACAAAUGCUUUGAACAGCAUGAUCAGCAUUAAAUUAACAUCUACACUGACAAUCUUGCCAAAGAAAUCCAGAAGGAGAUGGACAUUAGUAAUGAACUGCACGUUCACCUUUGGAGUGAAGUCAUUAGCAAGGUAAACUUUACCUCAUGGGCUCUGAACCUCGUCUCCUCUACUGUAUUUCCUAACUCCUGGAUGGGAUGUCAAUUUGCAAAGCAGAUUAUUUAGCAUAUUUCCUCAGCAUACAAGAAACUGCUACCAUUAAAGAAAAUUUACAUUACAGAACGGUUGUUUAUUAGACAUUAUCAUUAAUUAAUAAGUAUUUUUAGCUGCUUCUUGACAAGGAAGGUGCAUGGCAUGCAUGUGACACAAUUCAUCUGGUUUUAUAGAAGGUAGUAAUAGCUGCAAUGAGUAUAGAAGUAGCACAGGACUCUCUUGCAGAGUGGUAUUUGAAGGUCUGGCUAAGCAAAGCCACUUAGGCCAUUUCUAGUUUAUUGUUGUUACACUUUGGUAUGGCUUUCUAGUAAUUUAUAGGGGUGUUUGUUGAGUUCAUGAGCUCUUGAGACCUGCAUCCAAUAAAAUAGUGAUGUACUUUCUCUUGACUGAAGGCAGAAGCAUAUAUCAUUGCAUGCAGUGGGUCUGAUAUCAUUUUAUGCUGGAUGGGGAAAAAGGCUGUGAAGCUCUGUAGCUUAGUAAAAGAAAAGGAAAAGUAAAGAAAAAUGGCAAUAAAGGACAUCACUUUGUGCAGGGCACUAUUUUGUUUCUAGAUUCUUUAGCUUCAUACAUUAGCAAGCCGGGAAUUUGGUGGGUUAAUCCUACCCUUGACUGUAAGAUCCCAUAUUAGUUAACGAUCUCUUUCUGAACUUGAUAUAAAGCCACAUAAGUUAAUGAGCAGCUAUUAGACAAACCAUUAUUUAUAUACUUAUAUAUAUUCCCAUAAUUUUUCAUCUGUAUUUUAACUUUGCCAUGACAUAGGGUGCUAAUCCUUCAUGCUCUUGCAGUGUUAACAACAAUAUCUUUUCCCAUUUAAUUAAUAUUUUUAAAAGUUGCCUCAUCCUCCACCAUUAACAUCUUCCCCUCUAUCAAACAAUAAGUGAUAUGGAUCAGUCUUAGUCGAUUAGCUGUAAAGAAGAGGAAAAAUCACUAAGGCAGCAAGGCUUAUUCUUAAAGUAACUUCUCUCUUUCCACCUACUUGUCUAUUCUUAGACUACUGUAAACAUAAAAUGGUCAGGCAGCACAUAGAACAGUCCUAUCAUGUAGGAAAAAAAAAAAAAAUUGGUUCCUAGUGUGACUGUGCACCUUUGCAUAAAAUAAAUAAAUAAAAAUCUCUGUCAUGGAAAAGACAAAGGUAGCAUUGCUUUUACUGGUUUUCUCAGAAAUCUAACUUCCCUUCCCUUCCCUUCCCUUCCCUUCCCUUCCCUUCCCUUCCCUUCCCUCCCCUCCCCUUCCCUUCC
ensembl:lncRNA